rnacentral:rRNA from 1 species
GGCGCACGGGUGCGUAACGCGUGGGAAUCUGCCCUUGGGUUCGGAAUAACAGUGAGAAAUUACUGCUAAUACCGGAUGAUGUCUUCGGACCAAAGAUUUAUCGCCCAGGGAUGAGCCCGCGUAGGAUUAGGUAGUUGGUGGGGUAAUGGCCUACCAAGGCGACGAUCCUUAGCUGGUCUGAGAGGAUGAUCAGCCACACUGGGACUGAGACACGGCCCAGACUCCUACGGGAGGCAGCAGUGGGGAAUAUUGGACAAUGGGCGAAAGCCUGAUCCAGCAAUGCCGCGUGAGUGAUGAAGGCCUUAGGGUUGUAAAGCUCUUUUACCAGGGAUGAUAAUGACAGUACCUGGAGAAUAAGCUCCGGCUAACUCCGUGCCAGCAGCCGGCGGUAAUA